GAUGAACGCUGGCGGCGUGCCUAAUACAUGCAAGUCGAGCGAACAGACGAGGAGCUUGCUCCUCUGACGUUAGCGGCGGACGGGUGAGUAACACGUGGAUAACCUACCUAUAAGACUGGGAUAACUUCGGGAAACCGGAGCUAAUACCGGAUAAUAUAUUGUACUGCAUGGUUCAAUAGUGAAAGUCGGUUUUGCUGUCACUGAUAGAUGGAUCCGCGCCGCAUUAGCUAGUUGGUAAGGUAACGGCUUACCAAGGCAACGAUGCGUAGCCGACCUGAGAGGGUGAUCUGCCACACGGGAACUGAGACACGGUCCACACUCCUACGGGAGGCAGCAGUAAGGAAUCUUCCGCGAUGGGCGAAAGCCUGAUGGAGCAACACCGCGGGAGUGAUGACGAUCUUCCGAUCGUAAAACGCUGUUAGUACGGAAGAACAAAUGCGUAAGUAACUAUGCACGUCUUGACGGUACCUACACAGAAAGCCACGGCUAACUACGUG
rnacentral:rRNA from 1 species